GUCCACUGUAUAUGUAUAUGUAUAUACAUAUGUAUAUGUAUAUGUAUAUGUAUAUGUAUAUGUAUAUGUAUAGCUCAG